rnacentral:rRNA from 1 species
AUACGUAGGGGGCAAGCGUUAUCCGGAAUCACUGGGCGUAAAGGGUGCGUAGGUGGCUAAUCAAGCCAGAGGUGAAAGGCUACGGCUCAACCGUAGUAAGCCUUUGGAACUGAUUGGCUUGGGUGCAGGAGAGGGGAGCGGAAUUCCUAGUGUAGCGGUGAAAUGCGUAGGUAUUAGGAGGAACACCAGUGGCGAAGGCGGCUAUCUGGACUGUAACUGACGCUGAGGCACGAAAGCGUGGGGAGCAAACAGGAUUAGAUCCCCUGGUAGUCCACGCCGUAAACGAUGAGUGCUAGGUGUCGGGGGUUCACACCCUCGGUGCCGGAGUUAACGCGAUAAGUGUCCCGCCUGGGGAUUACGGUCGCAAGACUGAA